rnacentral:lncRNA from 1 species
AGGUCGGCCGGGUGGACGGAGCUGCGGGCAUUUUCGACGAGCUCCCUCCCCGGGACAAGAUGCGCGUUUUCUCUGAUGAGUCGGCAACCUGGUGCGUGCCAGAUAAGUAAGUUAGUACAGUAGUAUUAUAUUUCCAUCAAAAAAAAUCUAUGAAAAUAUUAUAAUACACUUCUUAAGAACUGAUCUGAGUUAGCAGAAAGAUUUUCAGCAAAAUACUAAGAACAUGGAAAAGAGGAAAUGCCCUUUAUUUUCAAUUCACUAGACUCAUCUUUUAUUUAGUGGAUUUGACACUAAGUAUAUAUUUUCGUUUAAAAAGUUAAUACCUCCAUUCAUGUUUACUAGCUACCACAGCUAAAUCAGAUACUUUUUUUCUACAAGAGCAAUAAAUCGGAUACUUACUGCUUCGUUGGACGUUCCAAAGGAAUCUGCAAAGCUUUUGUGCCUGGAAUGACUGGAAUGAUCUGCAGGGCGCCCAGAGCCUGGAUUUCUUCUGGCGAAUGCCUCAACAGCACCAGUGAACCUAUCCCGGAUCUCUUGUCCCACUGGCAAAAACGCAACUAAUUAGGUCAAUCGAUCAAUUUUCACAUAGCAAUGGUCCAAAUGCAAUUAACUACCAGGAGACAUACUGGAAGCUUUGUCUGUUCUCUCAACUGAUGGUCCAACUCCAGCCAUUCUUGCACUUGGUUGCUAGAUAAUUUAAGAAACAUAAUGGCAUUUUAGUGAAACGAAAAGACAAUAGUAAUUCACCAAUAAUGUAGACAAGACAUAGAUAUAAGAUUAGAGAGACAUACUUGAACAAGCUUGUUGUUGGAGCCCAUUUGAGGGUACUUGAGUGCAGUCCAGUCAAAUACGUAAUCAAAUUGGUAUCCUACAGUGUUAAUCUAUAAUGAGACCCAGUUUCCUAACACCGGAUCAUAGUGCAGGCGAGAACAAUGGUCACAUUAGCGGGGUCACUCAGAAGAAAGGUGUGUACCUUCCCGUAUAAAUACAUCACGAAAGAGCUUCUUCAUUGAAGAGUAAUCUGGCCUGUCUUCAAAUCGCAGGGAGCGACAAUAGUGGAAAUAUGAGACGAACUCCGGCGGGUAAGAUUUGCACAGAAUCUGUUUAAGACAAUGUUAGUUCAAACAGUGUCUGCAACAGCUACCAUGACAGGAUUACAAUGUUCGUGUUGGCAAAAAGAAGUACCUCUGCCGAGGUAAGCAUUUUCUUUUCACUAAUUUUAUCAUACUUUUGUUUCUUAGUGCCAGCUUUAAGGCCCUGCCAUGGGAGGCUAAGCAUAACGUAAAAGCAUGUCAAGUAUAGUAUUAGUAAAAGAGGAAAUACAGUAAAAUAUACAGAUUUUCGGGACAAACCUUCCUCUUAAAAAAUAUAGCAGAAGAUAGCCAACAGACUCCAGAUCAUCUCUCCUGCUUUGUUCUGGAUGAAACAAGUACAGGUACAUGAAAAACAAAUACAUUGUGUUUCCCUCCUUUUGAAAGCAUUAGAUUAAGUAGCUUCUCCUUCGUCAAUCGUCAGGUUAAGUUUAUUUCAUGACCAAGCAUCCAAGAAUUAAAAAGCGUAUGAUUUUAAUGCAAUUGCAGACACAUGGUAACAUAUUUGAUUUGCUCAUUGAGCUCACCUAUUCCAAGAUGAGUAUUCACACUAGCAUAACGUGCUGUUCCAGUCAGAUUUUUGUUCUCCCUGUGCAUAAAAAAAAUUAAUCAUUUACCAUAAAAAACAAGUAGUCACAAAAAUGAAAAGGUUCACUUUAUGUCUAAUCUAUCGAUUAAAUUUGAACCUAGCGUCCUAGUUUGCAAAUAUCACAGAAAACGCAUUAAAUAUUUGCAUGUGAUGUGACACUACUUUUAACCUUGGUGUUAAAACUUAUUCUUGGGCUUUCAAGAAGAUACUAAUGCACAACAACAUGACACGAUUGGACAUGAACAUUUUGAGUAAUUUGUCAUUUUAUUUCUGAAAUUUACAUGUAAAUAUCGCAAGAUCAAACAAUCCACUCAGGUUGCCUCUCUACCAUGAUCCGAUACUAUAUUUAAUAUACAAAACCUCAGUUGGAUUGCCCAACAGUGUACCAUUAGCCAGUGUCUCUUGACAAAAUGUAGGGUGCCAUUUGAUUCACGAAAUGUAACGUAAAUGACAAUGAUAACGAUUCACACUUGAAUAGACCGGUAUCAAUUUGUAGUGUGGUAUAUGAUUACGGUUGGAUUUAAACAAAUAUAAUUUAACAUUAUCUGUUACCUAUUACGUUACAAAUAUAUAAACCAAACAACACCUAGGAAGUUGUGACAUAGGUGCAGUAUAGAGGUUGCACGAAUUAUCACAUAGGUGCAGUAUAGAGGUUGCACGAAUUAUCACAUCCCAGUUUCUGCUUAUGAACUUGCAAUUUAAUGGAAUAAUUGUUUGGCCCAACAAAGUCCAGGGUUAGUUAUAAGUGAAAACUUCAUUAAUAUGCUUCACCUGUAUGGGAUGUGUUUAUGAGUCUGAAGGUCCUUGUAUUUCUUAGCAAGCCCAUAAUCAAUGAUAUAGACCUGCAGAAUAAAAAGGAUAUGUCUUCACAUAUUGUUCAUUGACGAGUAAGAAUCUCGGGGAUUAUUACCAGAUAUUAUUAGUAUUAGAGAAGUAACUACUAUGCUCUUUUUAUACUGAAAAUAACAAAAGCAGAUGACAUUUGGGGUUUAACCUGAUUAGCUUUCCGACCUAAGCCUAUAAGGAAGUUGUCUGGCUUGAUGUCACGAUGAAUAAAUCCCUUGGAAUGCAUGUAUUCCACUCGGUUUAUCUAAAAAUGGAAGAUUUAAUAAUGUAAGUCCAGGACAAUAAUAAAAUCUCGCUCUCCUUCCAACACCCACUAAGGAAAAAGAAUCAAACUUAAAAUAUGUACAAUCUUGCAAAGCUUGCCUGCGAUACACUUAGAACAACAUACGGUGUUCAUGAAAUCCAUUUGUACCAUCAAUGAUCUAAUACUUUGGAAUUAAAACCCACAAAAGAAGGCAACACUUAUGGCAGAAUGCUCAUGAAACUUCUGAACAUGUAACUCCCAACCAAUAGCUGUUAUCAAAUUCCAGAAAGUUGACUUGCCUCCUAACUGUUGCAGGGCAGCGUAAGGUUGAAUAUGGAAUGAAUAAACUCACCAGUUGAUCAGCAAGCAUAAGCACCGUUUUCAUAGAAAAUUUCCUGUUGCAGGAAUUAAACAAAUCUUCCAAGCUUGGGCCAAGAAGAUCGAUCACCAUAACAUUGUACUCCCCCUCAACACCAUACCACUUGAGGUGUGGGAUACCGUCUGUGUCAAAAAUGAGUGACUAAAUAAGCAACCAGAAGGCGUGGACACAAAUUACUGCAAAUAAUCAUAUAAAUUACAAUCGACUUACUUCCACCCUGCAGCAGCAUAUAAACUUUAGAUUCAUAGUGCAGCUGUGGAUGUUUUGUUUUCACAGGCUCCUGACAGAUCAAACCAAAGAAAAGGUGAGGCCUUGAACCAAACGCUUCAGCAAAGGUAUAUCCAGACUCUAGAUAAGAGACAUGUUAUACUACA